CUUAAUAUAAUCGUUCACAUCUCAAUUAACAUAUAUUUUGUCUAAGUUUUGCCAACAGAUUUAUUGUUUUUGCAGUGUAGAGGGUUAGCAGUAUUGACCAAUCUUUUUUGGGACUGUGAAACACAAUAUGCUUUUCUAAGGAUAUUGUGGACUCUGGAGUGUAAAUAGACUUGUUUAACUGGGGUAAGUUGAGUACUGCAGAUUUUGAGUAAAAAUCCAUGUACCAAAUAUUAAGAAAAUUAUUUUGUAACAUGAAAAUGUCUUUAAAUAUCGUAAUAUUGUAACAUUUUUACCAUAUCGCCCACCCCUUCAGUUAUCUUGCUUUGCAGAAAACAAAAGGACUGAUUUGUAUUUGACUCAUCGUCCACGAAAUGCCUAAUUCCUUGUGAGAGAUGCAACAGGUCCAGACUGCUCCCCAAAUCUCAAGGCUAAACUCUCUUACUGGACGGCAAGGUCGCUCCACAAAGGAGAGAAGAAAAAGAAAACAUCUACAAAUGACACCACAGACCAGAUCUGGCCUCUCUCAGUCACUCACUCACUCGUCUCACACUCCAACCAAAUGGCUUCUUCACAGGACCAACUUCACAUUACAUCAUUCAGUGAUGUCUAAACUUUUUUAGGUGUGAGUUACUUAAUUCCACUUCAUUUUCAGCUGUUUAGUGUGAACUUUCCCACCUACAAAGGGUUGCUGUAAACCACUUUCCUCCUGAAAGUAAGGAGCAAUUUGUUCUCAAGCUUUUAUCCUCCUGAAUGUCUUGGGGCCAUUAAGGCACUAAGAAUAAAGAUGACUAGAUAUGUAA